AGAGUUUGAUCAUGGCUCAGAUUGAACGCUGGCGGCAUGCCUAACACAUGCAAGUCGAACGGCAGCACAGUCGUAGCAAUACGAUGGGUGGCGAGUGGCGGACGGGUGAGGAAUACAUCGGGACCUGCCCAGACGUGGGGGAUAACGUAGGGAAACUUACGCUAAUACCGCAUACGUCCUACGGGAGAAAGCGGGGGAUCUUCGGACCUCGCGCGGUUGGAUGGACCGAUGUUCGAUUAGCUAGUUGGUGGGGUAAAGGCUCACCAAGGCGACGAUCGAUAGCUGGUCUGAGAGGAUGAUCAGCCACACUGGGACUGAGACACGGCCCAGACUCCUACGGGAGGCAGCAGUGGGGAAUAUUGGACAAUGGGCGCAAGCCUGAUCCAGCAAUGCCGCGUGUGUGAAGAAGGCCUUCGGGUUGUAAAGCACUUUUAUCAGGAGCGAAAUACCACGGGCUAAUACCCUAUGGGGCUGACGGUACCUGAGGAAUAAGCACCGGCUAACUUCGUGCCAGCAGCCGCGGUAAUACGAAGGGUGCAAGCGUUAAUCGGAAUUACUGGGCGUAAAGCGUGCGUAGGCGGUGAUUUAAGUCUGCUGUGAAAUCCCCGGGCUCAACCUGGGAAUGGCAGUGGAUACUGGAUCGCUAGAGUGUGAUAGAGGAUGGUGGAAUUCCCGGUGUAGCGGUGAAAUGCGUAGAGAUCGGGAGGAACAUCAGUGGCGAAGGCGGCCAUCUGGAUCAACACUGACGCUGAGGCACGAAAGCGUGGGGAGCAAACAGGAUUAGAUACCCCAGUAGUCC
rnacentral:rRNA from 1 species